GAAAAACAUUUCAAAAUAACAACUGUGAGAAAUAUUCCUGAAUCUGUAUUUCUUUUCUUGAGUAUUUCUGCUGCUGUCUUUGUAACUACAUGUAUUGCGGUAGCAGUAUGUUUGAAUCGUGGUAAAAGAAAAGCAUUGCUUAAACCAAAAAAUGAAGAAAACAAUCAGCUGCAGGUAAAACAAAUCAUAGUUUAUUUCCUUAUUUUCAUAUUCUGUUUUACAAAGUCAGAUAUUUUAACAAGAAAAGUGAUUCAAGAUCUAAAACCUAAUCUUGUGGCGAACUUUCGAUUUAUCAUUUACUAUACAAAUUUUUUCUAUAAAGCUUAAAGCUCACAUAAUUCAUUGCACUUUUUGUUCAAAUGAAACAAUUAUCUUGUCUUUCCUUUUACUGAGGAUUUUUCGUUAAUAAUACUGAGAAUCAGAAAACUAUUCUUUUUUUUUACAAAACAAACCAUUUUGAAAGAAUAUUGCCACACUGCCUUAAAUAGAUGACAGCAUGUCCAACGAAAGAAAAACAAUUAGGAAGACUGUUGUUAUGUGAUUGCUAAUUAAUUACUACGCCCAGAUAAAUUACUAAAUAGUUUGUUUGGGAUGUUCAUUUGUCAAACUCCUUAAAAUAUCCUGAAGAGUGGUCUACCUUGAACUACAAGUUAACCCACACCCACUUUAAUCAACUAUAUCAUUCAACCCGUCUUACUGACGGAUGGGAGAAGUCCAAGGAUGUCACUAUUUCAAUACUCAUUUCGUUAAAAAGUUUUGUUUGCAGAAAAUUGGAAAAAGGGGGGUCGUUAUUCAAAAGAAUUGUGUAUGUUGAAUAUCUUGAAAUAGCGCUGGUAUACGUUGAAAAAUCGAUCAUUUAAUCAAAUUUAUAACAUAACAUGUCUAUCGAAAUAAGAAACUGCUAACUACACACUCCAUGUUCUCUUUUGUAGAUUCCGUUAAAUCCACCACCACUUUGACUUUAAGAUCUGCUACAAGGAUUUUCUUCGAUAUCGAUUCACG
rnacentral:lncRNA from 1 species